rnacentral:rRNA from 1 species
AUGUGUGGCCACACAAUGAAGGAUCGAGUCCGAAAUGAUGAUAUAAGGGAUAGAGUUGGGGUAGCACCAAUUGAAGAGAAGCUUGUCCAGCAUCAUCUGAGAUGGUUUGGGCAUAUUCAGUGCAGGCCAGUGCAUAGCGGACGGCUAAAGCGUGCUGAUUAUAUCAAGAGAGGUCGGGGUAGACCAAAGUUGACAUGGGAGGAGUCCGUAAAGAGAGAUCUGAAGGACUGGAAGUUCACGAAAGAACUAGCCAUGGGCAGGGGUGCAUGGAAGCUAGCUAUCCAUGUGCCAGAACCAUGA